UACGGGGGGGGCUAGCGUUGUUCGGAAUUACUGGGCGUAAAGCGUGUGUAGGCGGGUCGUUAAGUGUCUUGUGAAAUCCCACCGCUCAACGGUGGAACUGCUGGGCAUACUGGCGAUCUUGAGCCACCUAGGGGCAGACGGAACAAGCGGUGGAGCGGUGAAAUGCGUAGAUAUCGCUUGGAACGCCGACGGUGAAAACAGUCUGCUGGGGGUGUGCUGACGCUGAGACACGAAAGCCAGGGGAGCGAACGGG
rnacentral:rRNA from 1 species